rnacentral:rRNA from 1 species
GACGAGCGCUGGCGGCGUGCCUAAUACAUGCAAGUCGAACGAAGCUGUUUUAACUGGUGCUUGCACCGACUUAAACAACUGAGUGGCGAACGGGUGAGUAACACGUGGGUAACCUGCCCCAAAGCGGGGGAUAACAUUUGGAAACAGAUGCUAAUACCGCAUAACCACAGAAACCACAUGGUUUCUGUGUCAAAGAUGGUUUCGGCUAUCACUUUGGGAUGGACCCGCGGCGUAUUAGCUAGUUGGUAAGGUAAUGGCUUACCAAGGCAAUGAUACGUAGCCGAACUGAGAGGUGGAUCGGCAACAUUUGGACUGAGACACGGCCCAAACUCCUACGGGAGGCAGCGGUAGGGAAUCUUCCACAAUGGACGAAAGUCUGAUGGAGCAACGCCGCGUGAGUGAAGAAGGUUUUCGGAUCGUAAAACUCUGUUGUCAGAGAAGAACGUGUGCGAGAGUAACUGUUCGUGCAGUGACGGUAUCUGGCCAGAAAGCCACGGCUAACUACGUGCCAGCCGCCGCGGUAA